GAGGGCGGAAAAACCCCGGCUCGCCAGGAGCGUCGUCCUCUCGAUUGUGGUAGGCAGCGCGCGCCGUCACAGCGUGCUUCGGCACCUACGCGCUCCAGGCGUCGGCCUGCGGGCCCCCCAUUCGGCCCGUCUUGAAACACGGACCAAGGAGUCUGACAUGUGUGCGAGUCAACGGGCGAGUAAACCCGUACGGCGCAAGGAAUCUAAUUGGCGGGAUCCCCUAGCGGGUGCACCGCCGACCGACCUUGAUCUUCUGAGAAGGGUUCGAGUGUGAGCAUACCUGUCAGGACCCGAAAGAUGGUGCACCGCCGACCGACCUUGAUCUUCUGAGAAGGGUUCGAGUGUGAGCAUACCUGUCGGGACCCGAAAGAUGGUGAACUAUGCCUGAGCGGGGCGAAGCCAGAGGAAACUCUGGUGGAGGCCCAAAGCGAUACUGACGUGCAAAUCGUUCGUCUGACUUGGGUAUAGGGGCGAAAGGCUAAUCGAACCGUCUAGUAGCUGGUUCCCUCCGAAGUUUCCCUCAGGAUAGCUGGAGCUCGUACGCGAGUUCUAUCAGGUAAAGCCAAUGAUUAGAGGCCUCGGGAGCGCAAUGCCCACGACC